rnacentral:rRNA from 1 species
GGAGCUUGCUCCUCUGACGUUAGCGGCGGACGGGUGAGUAACACGUGGAUAACCUACCUAUAAGACUGGGAUAACUUCGGGAAACCGGAGCUAAUACCGGAUAAUAUAUUGAACCGCAUGGUUCAAUAGUGAAAGACGGUUUUGCUGUCACUUAUAGAUGGAUCCGCGCCGCAUUAGCUAGUUGGUAAGGUAACGGCUUACCAAGGCAACGAUGCGUAGCCGACCUGAGAGGGUGAUCGGCCACACUGGAACUGAGACACGGUCCAGACUCCUACGGGAGGCAGCAGUAGGGAAUCUUCCGCAAUGGGCGAAAGCCUGACGGAGCAACGCCGCGUGAGUGAUGAAGGUCUUCGGAUCGUAAAACUCUGUUAUUAGGGAAGAACAAAUGUGUAAGUAACUAUGCACGUCUUGACGGUACCUAAUCAGAAAGCCACGGCUAACUACGUGCCAGCAGCCGCGGUAAUACGUAGGUGGCAAGCGUUAUCCGGAAUUAUUGGGCGUAAAGCGCGCGUAGGCGGUUUUUUAAGUCUGAUGUGAAAGCCCACGGCUCAACCGUGGAGGGUCAUUGGAAACUGGAAAACUUGAGUGCAGAAGAGGAAAGUGGAAUUCCAUGUGUAGCGGUGAAAUGCGCAGAGAUAUGGAGGAACACCAGUGGCGAAGGCGACUUUCUGGUCUGUAACUGACGCUGAUGUGCGAAAGCGUGGGGAUCAAACAGGAUUAGAUACCCUGGUAGUCCACGCCGUAAACGAUGAGUGCUAAGUGUUAGGGGGUUUCCGCCCCUUAGUGCUGCAGCUAACGCAUUAAGCACUCCGCCUGGGGAGUACGACCGCAAGGUUGAAACUCAAAGGAAUUGACGGGGACCC